rnacentral:rRNA from 1 species
UACGAAGGGGGCUAGCGUUGCUCGGAAUCACUGGGCGUAAAGGGUGCGUAGGCGGGUCUUUAAGUCAGGGGUGAAAUCCUGGAGCUCAACUCCAGAACUGCCUUUGAUACUGAGGAUCUUGAGACCGGGAGAGGUGAGUGGAAUUCCCAGUGUAGCGGUGAAAUGCGUAGAUAUUGGGAGGAACACCAGUGGCGAAGGCGGCUCACUGGACCGGUACUGACGCUGAGGCGCGAAAGCGUGGGGAGCAAACGGG